ACGAUCGGUAGCCGGACUGAGAGGUUGAACGGCCACAUUGGGACUGAGACACGGCCCAGACUCCUACGGGAGGCAGCAGUGGGGAAUAUUGCACAAUGGGGGAAACCCUGAUGCAGCGACGCCGCGUGGAGGAAGAAGGUCUUCGGAUUGUAAACUCCUGUUGUUGAGGAAGAUAAUGACGGUACUCAACAAGGAAGUGACGGCUAACUACGUGCCAGCAGCCGCGGUAAAACGUAGGUCACAAGCGUUGUCCGGAAUUACUGGGUGUAAAGGGAGCGCAGGCGGGAAGACAAGUUGGAAGUGAAAUCUAUGGGCUCAACCCAUAAACUGCUUUCAAAACUGUUUUUCUUGAGUAGUGCAGAGGUAGGCGGAAUUCCCGGUGUAGCGGUGGAAUGCGUAGAUAUCGGGAGGAACACCAGUGGCGAAGGCGGCCUACUGGGCACCAACUGACGCUGAGGCUCGAAAGUGUGGGUAGCAAACAGGAUUAGAUACCCUGGUAGUCCACACCGUAAACGAUGAUUACUAGGUGUUGGAGGAUUGACCCCUUCA
rnacentral:rRNA from 1 species